AUUGAACGCUGGCGGCAGGCCUAACACAUGCAAGUCGAGCGAGCGGCGGACGGGUGAGUAAUGUAUGGGGACUGCCCGAUAGAGGGGGAUCACUACUGGACACGGUAGCUAAUACCGCAUACUAUCGGAUAACCCAUAUGGGAUUAGCUAGUAGGUGAGGGAAUGGCUCACAUAGGCGACGAUCCCUAGCUGGUCUGAGAGGAUGAUCAGCCACACUUGGACUGAGACACGGCCCAGAGUCCUACGGAGGCAGCAGUGGGGAAUUUUGCACAAUUGGCGCAAGCCUGAUGCAGCCAUGCCGCGUGUAUGAAGAAGGCCUUAGGAUUUUAAAGUACUUUCAGUCGUGAGGCGUUACCGACAGAAGAAGCACCGUGUAACUCCGUGCCAGCCGCCGCGGUAAUAC
rnacentral:rRNA from 1 species